rnacentral:rRNA from 1 species
CCCCAGGCACAAAAGUUUGGUCCUAGCUUUAGAGUCUAUUAUUUCUUGAUUUACACAUGCAAGUCUCCUCGACCCUGUGAGUAAAACCCCCCCCACUCCCCAACGGAACAAAAGGUAGAUAUUAGGCUCAACAACUUGCCCAAAACAUCUAGCAACAGCCACACCCAUAAGGGAUACAGCAGUGAUUAACAUUAGUUAUAAGUGUCAACUUGACCUAGUUAAAGAAAUUCAAGGCCGGCAAAGUUAGUGCCAGCUGCCGCGGUUAUACUAUAGGCCUAAACCGACUCUUACCGGCGUAAAGCGUGGUUAAAGUUAUUAAUAGAUUAGAGUUAAAUUUUGACUAAAUAGUGAAAUGCCUGUUUGCAAGAAACCCACAAACGAAAGUUACUCUACCCACCCCUUGAAUCCACGAUAGCCAGGGUACAAACUAGGAUUANAUACCCUACUAUGCCUGGCCAUAAACCUUAAAUUACUCCCAAAU